GCCUGCGGAGGGCUGCCUAACUUUAUGAUCGACAAAAACACCGCUGGUUAUUCUUGUCAAGAGAAGGUUAAUUGCACCUCCUGCCUGGGGGCACCAGCUGAUCCCCGCGGGGGCUGGGAAGGCGUUUUCUGCCUGUGCUCAGCGUUCCCCGAGCCCGCAGGCUGCAGGAUGCAGGGAUGGACCGUGUGCCGGAGCAUCAGUCUGCGCCCGUGGCCUCGUCUCCAGCCUCGCGUGUGACCUACUUACACACAGAGCCCCAGUUGUUGCCUUUUCUCUGCCCAACAAUGCGGGGGCCCUGCCGCCACGCCGCCCGCUCCCAGCACAAUGCCAGCGGCUCCAGAGCCUGGCCCCGAGCCCCGCGGUGCCACAUCCACCCCCGGUGGGCACGGAGCCUCCUCCCAGCCGGCCGGGAUGCUCUCAGCCUGCGCUCAACGCCUUGCACGCAGACUCCGUGAUGCCUUAGGAUUUUAGCUUGGAUAUUUUUCAGAUCCUGUACUGCAUUAGUGCAUGAUUCUAAACUCCAUACAGAGUGUUAGUUACUGCCUUCAGAUCUUGGUCAGACAAAGCGAUCCUUCCAGGCCUGAGAUUCAAGGACACCCUACAGCCUCAGGCCCUGAAAAUAUAAACAAAAGUGAAUUGGGGGGCAGCAAACUGAGGGUGAAUGACUUCAUUACCUGAAGCUGUGUUUGGAGGAUUAACCCCUGAGAUGUAAAAGGACCAAACUUAUAACUGUCUGAAAAACUCUUGGACCAUCUCCAUCUUGGGUGUAGCCCCUGGGAGGCUCUGACUGCCCAAGGUGUAUCUAUUGAAUAAUAAUUUAAUAAAUCCCCACUUUAAUAAAUAUAUUAAAUACCCUUUAUAGGAUUAAUAAAUCUAUAAAUACCCUUUAAUAAACCCCCACUUUAUUCUC